UGGGGAAUAUUGGACAAUGGGCGAAAGCCUGAUCCAGCCAUGCCGCGUGUGUGAAGAAGGUCUUCGGAUUGUAAAGCACUUUAAGUUGGGAGGAAGGGCAGUAACCUAAUACGUUGCUGUCUUGACGUUACCGACAGAAUAAGCACCGGCUAACUCCGUGCCAGCAGCCGCGGUAAUACAGAGGGUGCAAGCGUUAAUCGGAAUUACUGGGCGUAAAGCGCGCGUAGGUGGUUAGUUAAGUUGGAUGUGAAAUCCCCGGGCUCAACCUGGGAACUGCAUUCAAAACUGACUGACUAGAGUAUGGUAGAGGGUGGUGGAAUUUCCUGUGUAGCGGUGAAAUGCGUAGAUAUAGGAAGGAACACCAGUGGCGAAGGCGACCACCUGGACUGACACUGACGCUGAGGCGCGAAAGCCAGGGGAGCAAACGGGAUUAGAUACCCUAGUAGUCCCUGAGCGGGCUGGCAAG
rnacentral:rRNA from 1 species